UUGAACGCUGGCGGCAUGCUUUACACAUGCAAGUCGAACGGCAGCGGGGGCUUCGGCCUGCCGGCGAGUGGCGAACGGGUGAGUAAUGCAUCGGAACGUGCCCAGUCAUGGGGGAUAACUACGCGAAAGCGUAGCUAAUACCGCAUACGCCCUGAGGGGGAAAGCGGGGGAUCGCAAGACCUCGCGCGAUAGGAGCGGCCGAUAUCGGAUUAGCUUGUUGGUGAGGUAAAGGCUCACCAAGGCGACGAUCCGUAGCUGGUCUGAGAGGACGACCAGCCACACUGGAACUGAGACACGGUCCAGACUCCUACGGGAGGCAGCAGUGGGGAAUUUUGGACAAUGGGGGCAACCCUGAUCCAGCCAUUCCGCGUGAGUGAAGAAGGCCUUCGGGUUGUAAAGCUCUUUCAGACGGAAAGAAAUCGGGCGCGUGAAUAGCGUGCCUGGAUGCCGGUACUGUCAGAAGAAGCACCGGCUCACUACGU
rnacentral:rRNA from 1 species